GACGAACGCUGGCGGCGUGCUUAACACAUGCAAGUCGAACGGAAAGGCACUGCUUUUGUGGGGUGCUCGAGUGGCGAACGGGUGAGUAACACGUGAGUAACCUGCCCUUGACUUUGGGAUAACUUCAGGAAACUGGGGCUAAUACCGGAUAGGAGCUCCUGCUGCAUGGUGGGGGUUGGAAAGUUUCGGCGGUUGGGGAUGGACUCGCGGCUUAUCAGCUUGUUGGUGGGGUAGUGGCUUACCAAGGCUUUGACGGGUAGCCGGCCUGAGAGGGUGACCGGCCACAUUGGGACUGAGAUACGGCCCAGACUCCUACGGGAGGCAACAGUGGGGAAUAUUGCACAAUGGGCGGAAGCCUGAUGCAGCAACGCCGCGUGCGGGAUGACGGCCUUCGGGUUGUAAACCGCUUUCGCCUGUGACGAAGCGUGAGUGACGGUAAUGGGUAAAGAAGCACCGGCUAACUACGUG
rnacentral:rRNA from 1 species